CGACCGCUGGCGGCGUGCUUAACACAUGCACGUCGUACGGUAAGGCCCUUUCGGGGGUACACGAGUGGCGAACGGGUGAGUAACACGUGAGUAACCUGCCCACAACUUUGGGAUAACGCUAGGAAACUGGUGCUAAUACUGGAUAUGUGCUCCUGCUGCAUGGUGGGGGUUGGAAAGCUCCGGCGGUUGUGGAUGGACUCGCGGCCUAUCAGCUUGUUGGUGGGGUAGUGGCCUACCAAGGCGGCGACGGGUAGCCGGCCUGAGAGGGUGACCGGCCACAUUGGGACUGAGAUACGGCCCAGACUCCUACGGGAGGCAGCAGUGGGGAAUAUUGCACAAUGGGCGCAAGCCUGAUGCAGCAACGCCGCGGGCGGGAUGACGGCCUUCGGGUUGUAAACCGCUUUCAGCAGGGACGAAGCUUUUUGUGACGGUACCUGCAGAAGAAGCACCGGCUAACUACGUG
rnacentral:rRNA from 1 species